CUCUCCGACCUGCACGAUGGGAAGGUCUACUGGAGGCGACCCAGCUGCACGAGGGUUGCUCAGGUGAUUGCCGGAUCAGAUCAAGAUAAGCAGCGGCCUCUUCUCACAGAAGGUAGUAGCAGAAGCAGAGAGAAGGAAGAGAAUAGCUCCUAAGGAAGAUUCGAGUCUACGGGAACUUUAUCAGUUUGUUGAGUACCACUCAACUAAGAAGCAGAAAAAGAUAUCAUCACCAAAAGUAUUUGCACCUAAGGCGGUAGCCCAAAAUGAGCAAAUGAUUAAAGCAUAAUGACUUGAAGAGCGUGCUACUCAAGUUCACACAAAUGUAGAUAUUACACAACAGGUAAUAUGGGAAAUGUAAUAAGUAAGCUAAUAAAAAGUUCAGAGACUUGUGCAUAGCUUUUAAUAGGACAAAUUAUUUUUCUAUCAAGCUUUGCCCAGAAGAAGGAACUUCAAUGGCAAUAGAAAAUCAGGCUAC